rnacentral:sRNA from 1 species
UAUCCCCCAAACUAAGGGGGGAUGAGAACCACCGACCGGGGUUCGACAACUGGCGCAGCCAGUUGGACAGACGACGAGCUUGCGAGGAGACUGCCCGAAGGGCGAGCGCAGCGAGUCAAUCCCCCUCACCGCCA